GGCUUCAUAGCUCAGUUGGUAGAGCAUUGCAUUAGUAAUGUGGAGGUCGACAUGUAAUCCCACUGAAGCCC